ensembl:lncRNA
CUCUUGUCAUGUUAUUUUUCCUUAUGCCAACUCUGGAAAUGUUGCGUGGUCACUUGCCAGCAUCACCAGAGGGCCCAGAACAGCCUCACCAAUUAACAGCACAGCAGGAUUCAUUGCCCUGCUUUUAACAAUCAUUAUAGAUUGAGGGCGAACAUGUGUUGAUGGUUAAUUUUAUUUCCAAGAGAGCACGUAACAAUUAGCCUCUUAAAGUGUGCUAGCGAUGGUCUCUAUACAGCUAGAUUGGCUCUUGAAAUGGAUUGAGAGGAGGAAGAGAGAUCUAAGCUUCCAGUGACAUCUACUGAUCCCACGUCACUUCUUUCUUUAUUAGUCAGUCUGUAGAGACUGGGUUACCGGCUUGGGCUCACACAUAUUCAUGGACACAGCUGGGACAGUUUAAUUAACUUAAUUCUAGUUAAUUACUCACCCCAGUGCAGCUGACCAAACUCCAUCACGAACCCUCUCCGCACGGCUGAGUUAUGGCCAGCUUUGGGAGGGGUUGUGGGAGCCGGAGAAAGAUGGACAGGCAGGAGCACCAAACAGUGGACUUCAGUGAACAACUGGGUAGAGUUGCACCAGCCAUUUAUACAGUGGCAACAACUUAUGCAGAGCUUCAGAACCAGUGGCUUUUGCGUUUGCAAAUUAAUGCACUCUAAACAAUUUACUGACCUGGAGCAUCUAAUGGGAAACAAGGAGCCUCCUGACAUCCAGCAUUGGGGUUUGAGAUGCAGAGGGCAGGGGCUGCUCCUCCUGGUGCUCCGGGGUCAGGUAAGGUAGCAUAGGGGUCUGCUCGGGGUCACAAGACCCCAGCAGGAGAGCCUGAGAGUGGGCAGAGUGUAUGUGGAUUAAGGACCUGAGGACCAGAACCAUCCACGUACCACCAAUUAAGCCCGAGUCUGCCCCGCUGAUGCGGGACACCACAGGGCCGGGUCUUGGGCCUCUUCUUGUUUAUGCAUUUGCAUUGUUCCCAGACAUGUAACUAGGCAAUUGUGCUGGGCCAUAAAACAGCAUGGCUGCUUAAAAGGAUUUGAAAGGGAAAAAGAGGCAUUUACCUCAGUGGUGUCAAUCUCCCACAAACACUAUUAUAACCUUAAACCAGCAGAAUAAGGAGCAGAACCACCACUGAGAAGGAGGGGAAAGAAGGGAGGGGAAAACCUAAAAAAAGGACAACAAAAGGGAAAGGAAAUUAAUGACUCUUCACAUAUUGCCUGUGUUUCUUUUGUGGAGACCAACAAAAGAGAAGCAGGUUUGAGAGGAUGUGGGUCUCUGGAGCCAAUGUAUAUCAGGCCUGUAAAUUCCACCAAACAUUAAUAACUUCAUUACAUAGCAAUUACCAGCCAGAGUCGGUGGAAUAGAGUAUCCCACUUCCACAUACAUUUGUCCAAGACUCAGCACUUCUCUGCCUUCUCCUUUUCUCUCUCACACGCGCUCUCUUCCCCAUCUUUCUUUCUGUCUUCUAAAGGCAGAAAGGUCAAACCAUUACAUCGUCUGAAUGAAAUGUUCCUGACUUCCUCUGAUAUAUAGUCGACUGGCC